UAUUGCGAGGGUCUUCUACUGCCGCACCCUGUGGACGGGAGGUGCCAACAGUCUCUGCUUACUGAAGGUAUUCACUGGUGACUGGUGCUGCGGAUUUCACUUCAGAACAGAAGGAAACCUGGGUGGACAAUCUCUACGGACCACUGCAAUGCCGGGCUUCACAUGCUGCGUGCCGGGUUGCUACAAUAAUUCACAUCGGGACAAGACGCUACACUUCUACACUUUUCCCAAAGACGCCGAGUUGCGACGCCUGUGGCUUAAGAACGUUUCCCGUGCAGGGGUUAACGGCUGCUUUUCUACCUUUCAGCCUACCACGGGCCAUCGCCUGUGCAGUGUCCAUUUCCAGGGCGGUCGUAAAACUUACUCAGUGCGGAUACCCACCAUCUUCCCUCUGCGCGGUGUCAGUGAGCGCAAGUCCACCUGCCGGCCUGGGCCUGAGGGAUCCUGUUCUGCCGGAACCUCCCCCAGCAGAAGGCAAAGGCAGAAGCAGCUGCAGGAACCUAAACUGCAACCCUUGGUCCCUACCCCAGCGGGUGUUCUCCUAACCCUUAAGACAGCUGUGAAAGAUAGCCAGACACCCGUAGCCCCACCCCUGCUGAUGGGUGGCAACAAAAAGUCGGUAGAUAUAACUGGGAAGACGGGAUUCACGGCACUUGACGGUGCCCCUGAAGCUGGGCCAGACAUGGAUCAUUCGUCGAUCAACACCACUGAGGCUAAUUGUUCAGCCGCGGGAGUCCGAUUUAUGGUAGAGAAAGAGGAAGGCUUCCAGCACAUGACUUCUGACCACUCAUACUCGCUAUCUUCGUGCACAACGGAGGAAGAGUUGCUGCAUAAGCUGAACGAGCAACGGGAUAUCCUGGCUUUAAUGGAAGUGAAGAUGAAGGAGAUGAAGGAUAUCAUCCGUCAAUUAAGACUCACAGAAGCCAAUCUCCGCGAAGAGCUCCGGGAGAAGGACAGGCUGCUUGCCAUGGCCGUCAACUGUAAAUAGCACGUUUGAAAGAUGACAUCUAGGAAGAGGGUACUACUGAAAGUUAUCAUCCUAGGAGACUCGGGGAAGCAGAAGUGGAACUUUACAACGAAUUUCCUGAACCCAUUGAACUAGGUAAAAAUGUGCAAGCAAAGCCUUCUGCAGAGAGCUGCAGGUGCUGAGAUGUAUUUAGGUGGAACAGAUUCCUACACAUAGCAGUAUUUCACUUGGGCAUUCAAACAAAAUUUCUUUUCAAACUAACAGUAAUAAAUAAAUUACCCUAUAUCCGACUAACAAAUUUACUAUGAGCAAACAUAUGCCUUAUCAAUUACAUAGGUUCAUCAAGUCCUUAUCCCAUCUGUUAUAUCGAUAACCAAACUAUUCAUUCGUAAAAUCAGUUCUGAUGUUUGCUGUAUCUUCAGUAAAGAAAUAUAGUUAGUAUUAAUUGAAACUUUAAAAUUUUUUAUACCUGUCUUUUUUUCCCUUUGCCACUUGUGAAGGCUUCAAAAGGGAGAUUAACUACCAAGUUUAUUCCCAGUCAUUUUAUUUUGCAUGUAUUUUAAUGUUUAAUACUUUUAAUUAAUUGGAUAUUUUUACAGCACCUAUUUACUACUACCAUGCUAUACUUAAUGCCUGUCUUUCUUAAUAGUACAUUUUAAUAUCUACUGUCAUUUAAAAAUGUGUAUAUCUUUGAAAGAGUACAUUCUUGGAUUUCAACAGUGUUUAAAAUGAGAAGAGAAUCUGUUCAAUGUGAUGUGUAGCUCAAGGAAUUUUAUAGUUUGGAGGCUAGGGAACAAAAUUAUUUUUCACUUAAAAGGAUGUCCUUUUGCUUUUGGGUAUGGAAAUUUUCAAACGAUGAAAUGAAUAGUUUGCUGAUAUUGUGGUUUCAAAAAGAAGACAUUUGCAAGUGUUAUGCUUCUCCCUUUUCUGUGCUGCUUAAAUUGUUAUUAUUGCAUCAAUAUUCAACAGAAGACUUAAUGGGGAAAAUUUUAGAUUUUUUUUAGGGCUUUAAUAUAUGUUCUACACUUUUUGUUUCUAGAUUGUGGUAUUUAUUUGUUACAGAAACUAUUCCUCAUCUUUCCCCUGGUAUUGCCUAUCAUCUGACUUCUGAGUGAAAAAAAUCAGUUUUCCUGUAAUGCAACUGUUCAAUUCUUAAAUUUUUCUCUGUAUUUUCAAGAAGUGUGUAUUCUUAUGUGUGGGUUGAGCUCUUCUGUAAAAAGAUAUACAUGAUAUUAAUAAAAUUUAAUAAAUUUAAAUUU